UAAAAAAUAAAAAAACAAGAAAGAUGGUGAAAACAAAGCGUCCCAAAACUUCAUCCUUGCCAACAUCAUCUUAAGCAAAGUGGAAGCAGCAUCUCCAAUGCUUACCCCGUUGCCAAUCCUAAGAAGCAGUCUGGAGAGACAUCUAGUGGCUAAUCUCAGUAACCAAACCCCAGAGUUUUACUUCUUAGUCCUUUUGCUGUUUUGGCCUGAGGAGCAGAAGAAAAUGGAUUUCAAUAUUGACCUCAACAAAUGUGUUCUGGAGAUGCAAGAGUCCUACAAAAACACAUACAAAAAGCAUCUUCGCUCAAGGUACCUUCUCCCCCUUAUUUUCCUGGGUAAGGGUGAGGGAUUGAGUAGACUGGUUCAUAGAGCAAAAAUAGACAACCUAUUGAUAGAAGAGAAUCCAAUGGCAAGGCCAGAGGCAAGGCCAGACACUAUAGAUCAAAAGUGGAGCAGUGGUGAAGUGUGGAGAGAACCCAGUGUCCAGGACCUUCUUCUUCCAGUCAAUGGAGUGGUUAGACAGCACCGGGUGUUUGCGCGCGUUGAUGGCAAGGAGAUUAACGUUUGUGCCGGCCAACAAAGCAAAGUUUGGAAGUCUGGAGACGUCUGCUUCUACCUUGGCUUCACCAUUAGAGGUCCUGUGGCCUACGACAUCAUCUACCCAUCCUAUUCAGGGCCUGUGAGAAGUUGAACAACGUACUUAAUGUGAUGACCUCAGGCCAGCACUUUGAGGACUUCACCGGACAGAACUGAUCUAGAGAGUGAACCAGGUGAAGCCCAUCUUGGAUAAACUCAUCACUGACAAGAGCUAAAGUUCAGUACUGGCUGAACGCACCACACAGGACCAGAUGGGGGAGCUCUCCACAGGACUGAGGGCAAGUGGCAUCAGAGCAAAAUAUAUUUUCUAUGAAAUCCUGAAGGAGCUGGAGCCACUGCUAGUCAAAGACCUGAAGGGUGAAUGAGGAGCUGGAAUGGUGAAUUGGGGACAUUUAAAGUUUGUUUUAGGGGAAAAGGGCAUAAAUGACGGCAGUUCCGCUUUGUUUUACUACUUUGUGUUUACAAUAAAACACAACCUAAGAGAGGUAUAGCCUCAUUCUUUUAUCAUUCUUAUUUUUCUACAUGUAAAUAUUAGUAGCCAGCAGAACAGCAACCAGCAACCUAGUGUUUUAGCCUUCAGGCUUUGCCAAAGAUAUAACAUUUUGAGCGAGCUUGGGGGUCUUGUAAAAGUUGGGUUGGAAGAUAAAUGCUCAACCAUCUCACCUAGAUACUCUGGAUCAUUUACAGACAAGAAAAUAUAUAAAGAAAAUAUGUAAUGAAAAUACAAAAGUAUACUGUGUAAAGAAUCGAUGAUAAAAAGAACAAUUCAAUUAUUUUGGCUACUAAAUGAUUGAGAAGUCAGUGAGGGUAAGGAAUACCAGCGAUCUAAAUACAUGUAUGAUAUGACUUUGUAAAGCUUUAUGUACAAGCCUAAUACAACUUUUUAAACAGUAAUGAUAUGUGCGAAUUUUUGUGACAUUUUCACAACACAGGUUUUAGAAUAUGUAUUGAAAUAAAUACCUACGUACAGA